rnacentral:rRNA from 1 species
CUGGAACAUAUGACGCUGAGACGCGAAAGCGUGGGAGCAACAGGAUUAGAUACCCUGGUAGCCCACGCCUAAACGAUGUACACUAGUGUGUGAGGCUCGACCUUGCAGUAAUGCAGUUAACACAUUAAGUGUACCGCCUGGGGAGUACGGUCGCAAGAUUAAAACUCAAAGGAAUAGACGGGGACCCGCACGAGCGGUGGAGCAUGUGGUUUAAUUCGACGAUACACGAAGAACCUUACCUGGACUUGACAUAGUAAGAACUUUCUAGAGAUAGAUUGGUGUCUGCUUGCAGAAACUUAUAUACAGGUGCUGCACGGCUGUCGUCAGCUCGUGUCGUGAGAUGUUGGGUUAAGUCCCGCAACGGGCGCAACCCUCGUCAUUAGUUGCUAACAGUUCGGCUGAGAACUCUAAUGAGACUGCCUACGCAAGUAGGAGGAAGGUGAGGACGACGUCAAGUCAUCAUGGCCCUUACGUCCAGGGCUACACACGUGCUACAAUGGGGUAUACAAAGAGCAGCAAUACGGUGACGUGGAGCAAAUCUCAAAAAUAUCUCCCAGUUCGGAUUGUAGUCUGCAACUCGACUACAUGAAGUUGGAAUCGCUAGUAAUCGUAGAUCAGCUAUGCUACGGUGAAUACGUUCCCGGGUCUUGUACUCACCGCCCGUCACACCAUGGGAGUUGAACUCAUUCGAAGCGGGGAUGCUAAAGUAGCUACCUUCCACAGUGGAUUCAGCGACUGGGGUGAAGUCGUAACAAGGUAACCACUGUGCAGCAGGCCGCGGGAUUGUGCCAGCAGGCCGCGGUG